AGGAUCAUUACUGAGAGAGGGACCUCGCGUCCCCCGGGGGGCUUCGGCCCUCCACCUCUUCAACCCGUGCUUAUAAMUCUCUGUUGCUUUGGCGAGCGCCGGGGUGCCCCCCGCCUCGGCCCCGACCCUAGGUCGGUGCGUUCUCGCCAGAGCCCCCAACCAUUCUGUUUAUUCAGUGACGUCCGAGUAUUACCCUAAUGUAAAUCAAAACUUUCAACAACGGAUCUCUUGGUUCUGGCAUCGAUGAAGAACGCAGCGAAAUGCGAUAAGUAAUGUGAAUUGCAGAAUUCAGUGAAUCAUCGAAUCUUUGAACGCACAUUGCGCCCCCUUGGUAUUCCGAGGGGCAUGCCUGUUCGAGCGUCAUUGCAACCCUCAAGCUUUGCUUGGUAUUGAGCCUUUCGCCGGAGACGGCCUGCUCGAAAAUUAGUGGCGGUCCAGGGAGACUUCAAGCGCAGUAAAACUUCCCGCUUUCGAGGUUCUCGCCUGCGACCAGCCGUGAAACCCCCAAAYUUUCAAUGA
rnacentral:rRNA from 1 species